UACGUAGGUGGCGAGCGUUGUCCGGAUCUACUGGGCGUAAAGGGAGCGUAGGCGGACUUUUAAGUGAGAUGUGAAAUACCCGGGCUCAACUUGGGUGCUGCAUUUCAAACUGGAAGUCUAGAGUGCAGGAGAGGAGAAUGGAAUUCCUAGUGUAGCGGUGAAAUGCGUAGAUAUUAGGAGGAACACCAGUAGCGAAGGCGGCUCUCUGGACUGUAACUGACGCUGAGGCACGAAAGCGUGGGGAGCAAACAGGAUUAGAUA
rnacentral:rRNA from 1 species